rnacentral:lncRNA from 1 species
AGAAUAUCUUUCUAUUUUUUUUUAGUAGAAAAGAGCAGUGGCUCCAUUGCAAAUAGGAGUAGAAGUAUAGAGUUUGUAACGGCAACAUAGGGAGGUAAUCAAACCUCCAAUCUACAAACAAACCUUUAUACAUACAAACCAAAACAUCUAAAAUCCAAAAAUAGUAAAGAGAAGAUGAGAAAUAUAGGUAAAUUCAGCAU